AUACUUACCUGGACGGGGUCAAUGGGCUAUCAAGAAGGCCUAUGGCCUAGGUUGGCGACCUCCAUUGCACUCUAGGAGGGGCGCCCGCCUAAGGUCAGCCCUAGUUGGUUGAGCCUACGUCAUAAGGAAUUUCAUGUCUAAUUUUGUUUAUUGUAGAC
rnacentral:snRNA from 1 species